rnacentral:lncRNA from 1 species
UUACAAUGUCUUUCGCCUUGUCAGUAAUCUGUGCAGCUAUCACUGUCAUUCACCUUGUCGGUAAUCUGUGCAGCUGUUGUAAUCUGUUACCAAAAAAACCUCCUGGAUAAGCCAAUCCUGACCAAUGACAAACUAAAAAUAAAAACAGAAAAAAGGUUCGCUCUCUCACGUUGUCAGUAAUCUGUGCGGUAAUCUGUUACCGAAAAAACCUCCUGGAUAAGCCAAUCACAAACUAAAAAUAAAAACGGAAAAAAGGUUCUCUCUUUCUGUCACCUUGUUGUAAUCUGUUACCAAAAAAACCUCCUGGAUGAGCCAAUCCUGACCAAUGACAAACUAAAAAUAAAAACAG